UGAGUGGCGGACGGGUGGAGUAACGCGUGGGCGAACCUGGCCGUGUACAGGGGAGUAACACUUAGAAAUAGGUGCUAAUACCGCAUAACGGGAGAAGCGCAUGGCUUUUUCCUGAAAACUCCGGUGGUACAGGAUGGGCCCGCGUCUGAUUAGCCAGUUGGCAGGGUAACGGCCUACCAAAGCGACGAUCAGUAGCCGGCCUGAGAGGGCGGACGGCCACACUGGGACUGAGACACGGCCCAGACUCCUACGGAAGGCAGCAG
rnacentral:rRNA from 1 species